rnacentral:rRNA from 1 species
CCAGACUCCUACGGGAGGCAGCAGUGGGGAAUAUUGCACAAUGGGCGAAAGCCUGAUGCAGCAACGCCGCGUGAAGGAAGAAGGGUUUCGGCUCGUAAACUUCUAUCAACAGGGACGAAAGAAAUGACGGUACCUGAAUAAGAAGCCCCGGCUAACUACGUGCCAGCAGCCGCGGUAAUACGUAGGGGGCAAGCGUUAUCCGGAUUUACUGGGUGUAAAGGGAGCGUAGGCGGCGAUGCAAGCCAGAUGUGAAAGCCCGGGGCUCAACCCCGGGACUGCAUUUGGAACUGUGUGGCUGGAGUGUCGGAGAGGCAGGCGGAAUUCCUAGUGUAGCGGUGAAAUGCGUAGAUAUUAGGAGGAACACCAGUGGCGAAGGCGGCCUGCUGGACGAUGACUGACGUUGAGGCUCGAAAGCGUGGGGAGCAAACAGGAUUAGAUACCCGAGUA